AUGAAUAACGGCGCAGGCGAGGUGCUGCGGCGGCGAGCUGGACGGCGCAGAGUGCAGCUCCCUCUUCUCUGAUUCCAAGCUCUCUAUUCUCCCUUUCCAUUUCUUUGUUUCUUUCUUUUGUUUGGGUGUUGGUGUUUUGGAAGAAAGGUGGGGUGGGGCUGCGUUCUGAGGCUGGGGAAAAGGGAAAAAUUAUGAUUAGGGUUUCUGAUGUUUGGGUGUUGGUGUUUUGGAAGAAAGGUGGGGUGGGGCUGCGUUCUGAGGCUGGGGAAAAGGGAAAAAUUAUGAUUAGGGUUUCUGAU
rnacentral:lncRNA from 1 species